UUAAGCGACUAAGCGUACACGGUGGAUGCCCUGGCAGUCAGAGGCGAUGAAGGACGUGCUAAUCUGCGAUAAGCGUCGGUAAGGUGAUAUGAACCGUUAUAACCGGCGAUUUCCGAAUGGGGAAACCCAGUGUGAUUCGUCACACUAUCAUUAACUGAAUCCAUAGGUUAAUGAGGCGAACCGGGGGAACUGAAACAUCUAAGUACCCCGAGGAAAAGAAAUCAACCGAGAUUCCCCCAGUAGCGGCGAGCGAACGGGGAGCAGCCCAGAGCCUGAAUCAGUGUGUGUGUUAGUGGAAGCGUCUGGAAAGGCGCGCGAUACAGGGUGACAGCCCCGUACACAAAAAUGCACAUGCUGUGAGCUCGAUGAGUAGGGCGGGACACGUGGUAUCCUGUCUGAAUAUGGGGGGACCAUCCUCCAAGGCUAAAUACUCCUGACUGACCGAUAGUGAACCAGUACCGUGAGGGAAAGGCGAAAAGAACCCCGGCGAGGGGAGUGAAAAAGAACCUGAAACCGUGUACGUACAAGCAGUGGGAGCACAGAGCAAUCUGUGUGACUGCGUACCUUUUGUAUAAUGGGUCAGCGACUUAUAUUCUGUAGCAAGGUUAACCGAAUAGGGGAGCCGAAGGGAAACCGAGUCUUAACUGGGCGUUAAGUUGCAGGGUAUAGACCCGAAACCCGGUGAUCUAGCCAUGGGCAGGUUGAAGGUUGGGUAACACUAACUGGAGGACCGAACCGACUAAUGUUGAAAAAUUAGCGGAUGACUUGUGGCUGGGGGUGAAAGGCCAAUCAAACCGGGAGAUAGCUGGUUCUCCCCGAAAGCUAUUUAGGUAGCGCCUCGUGAAUUCAUCUCCGGGGGUAGAGCACUGUUUCGGCAAGGGGGUCAUCCCGACUUACCAACCCGAUGCAAACUGCGAAUACCGGAGAAUGUUAUCACGGGAGACACACGGCGGGUGCUAACGUCCGUCGUGAAGAGGGAAACAACCCAGACCGCCAGCUAAGGUCCCAAAGUCAUGGUUAAGUGGGAAACGAUGUGGGAAGGCCCAGACAGCCAGGAUGUUGGCUUAGAAGCAGCCAUCAUUUAAAGAAAGCGUAAUAGCUCACUGGUCGAGUCGGCCUGCGCGGAAGAUGUAACGGGGCUAAAACCAUGCACCGAAGCUGCGGCAGCGACGCUGAUGCGUUGUUGGGUAGGGGAGCGUUCUGUAAGUCUGCGAAGGUGUGCUGUGAGGCAUGCUGGAGGUAUCAGAAGUGCGAAUGCUGACAUAAGUAACGAUAAAGCGGGUGAAAAGCCCGCUCGCCGGAAGACCAAGGGUUCCUGUCCAACGUUAAUCGGGGCAGGGUGAGUCGACCCCUAAGGCGAGGCCGAAAGGCGUAGUCGAUGGGAAACAGGUUAAUAUUCCUGUACUUGGUGUUACUGCGAAGGGGGGACGGAGAAGGCUAUGUUGGCCGGGCGACGGUUGUCCCGGUUUAAGCGUGUAGGCUGGUUUUCCAGGCAAAUCCGGAAAAUCAAGGCUGAGGCGUGAUGACGAGGCACUACGGUGCUGAAGCAACAAAUGCCCUGCUUCCAGGAAAAGCCUCUAAGCAUCAGGUAACAUCAAAUCGUACCCCAAACCGACACAGGUGGUCAGGUAGAGAAUACCAAGGCGCUUGAGAGAACUCGGGUGAAGGAACUAGGCAAAAAUGGUGCCGUAACUUCGGGAGAAGGCACGCUGAUAUGUAGGUGAAGCGACUUGCUCGUGGAGCUGAAAUCAGUCGAAGAUACCAGCUGGCUGCAACUGUUUAUUAAAAACACAGCACUGUGCAAACACGAAAGUGGACGUAUACGGUGUGACGCCUGCCCGGUGCCGGAAGGUUAAUUGAUGGGGUCAGCGCAAGCGAAGCUCUUGAUCGAAGCCCCGGUAAACGGCGGCCGUAACUAUAACGGUCCUAAGGUAGCGAAAUUCCUUGUCGGGUAAGUUCCGACCUGCACGAAUGGCGUAAUGAUGGCCAGGCUGUCUCCACCCGAGACUCAGUGAAAUUGAACUCGCUGUGAAGAUGCAGUGUACCCGCGGCAAGACGGAAAGACCCCGUGAACCUUUACUAUAGCUUGACACUGAACAUUGAGCCUUGAUGUGUAGGAUAGGUGGGAGGCUUUGAAGUGUGGACGCCAGUCUGCAUGGAGCCGGCCUUGAAAUACCACCCUUUAAUGUUUGAUGUUCUAACGUUGACCCGUGAUCCGGGUUGCGGACAGUGUCUGGUGGGUAGUUUGACUGGGGCGGUCUCCUCCUAAAGAGUAACGGAGGAGCACGAAGGUUGGCUAAUCCUGGUCGGACAUCAGGAGGUUAGUGCAAUGGCAUAAGCCAGCUUGACUGCGAGCGUGACGGCGCGAGCAGGUGCGAAAGCAGGUCAUAGUGAUCCGGUGGUUCUGAAUGGAAGGGCCAUCGCUCAACGGAUAAAAGGUACUCCGGGGAUAACAGGCUGAUACCGCCCAAGAGUUCAUAUCGACGGCGGUGUUUGGCACCUCGAUGUCGGCUCAUCACAUCCUGGGGCUGAAGUAGGUCCCAAGGGUAUGGCUGUUCGCCAUUUAAAGUGGUACGCGAGCUGGGUUUAGAACGUCGUGAGACAGUUCGGUCCCUAUCUGCCGUGGGCGCUGGAGAACUGAGGGGGGCUGCUCCUAGUACGAGAGGACCGGAGUGGACGCAUCACUGGUGUUCGGGUUGUCAUGCCAAUGGCACUGCCCGGUAGCUAAAUGCGGAAGAGAUAAGUGCUGAAAGCAUCUAAGCACGAAACUUGCCCCGAGAUGAGUUCUCCCUGACUCCUUGAGAGUCCUGAAGGAACGUUGAAGACGACGACGUUGAUAGGCCGGGUGUGUAAGCGCAGCGAUGCGUUGAGCUAACCGGUACUAAUGAACCGUGAGGCUUAACCUU
rnacentral:rRNA from 1 species